ACUAAAACCUUCAUUACUGAUUUGCUGCCAGCUGAAUUGCUGGGACUGUGCUUCCCCAGAGCAGCAGCAUUGCUCAGCUUAGUUGUGCUGUCUCUGCAGUGUGAGCUCCAGGAGGGAGCUGACAUGGGUGGGCUGUACUGAUGGGUGAAGCUCUCCCCUGCAAGUAUCUCACAGUGUCUUGUGCUCAUCACUGCCCCAGGACAGAGAUGUGGACACUGAGUAGAGGGAAAAGAGCAUUACCGUGCAAGGGAAACAUUUUGAAUUUCAAGAUCUGCCAUUACAGGCUGUGGGACUCGUUGUGUGUCAGCAAGGUGGGUUUGGACUUGAAAGAGGCUUUUGUCUAAGGGUGUGCUGGCAGGAGCAGGGGGACUGUGACAAGAUGCAAACCAGAGCCAUGAGGGGCUGCUCCAGAGAUUGCCACAUCUUGUGGACUCACAAACAUUGAGGGCAGCAGCAAGGGUGAUAUAUGGCUGCAGAAUUGCUCUGGCAGGUACAGAACAUGGCAAGAGGCAAUCCCUUCUUCAUAAGGGAAGGUUGUGCUGCCUUUUCUCUUGCCUCAGGCAGCAAAAAGCUGAUUUCAGCAUUAGGAGAUCGCCAGAAGGCUGGAAAGAGUAAAAGGAUGGAAAAAAAGAAAUAGGGUCAGGAGCUGGGAGUGAAAGGUUGAUUGCUUGGGAGUGCUCUCCCCAGCAUGGACCAUGGGCAAGCAGAAAUAAAUUGUGGGUAUGAAUAGAAAAUGGAUGCUUACUGAGGAGUUUAAUUGAAGGUUCAGACGAUGAAACCAGGAAAAAGAGCUAUUUGUCCUAAUUUUAAUCUUUGUUUAUAUUUGCAUAGACUUAGAAAAAAUGUUCUGCAUUUUAUACCAGAGAACAAAUACAGAGGAGAGAGAACAGCUAAGUGCUCUGUGUCUCUGCCUGCUAUUUUAACGAGAGGUCCUCAUGCUGAUAUGGGUCUGUACCAUCAUUUGCUGAGGAUUCUGUGCUUUUUUAAAAAUUACUAGCUAGGUCACAAACUCAUUUUACCAGUCAUCUCCUGAAUGAAGGAAACAGUAUGAUUGUUGAAAUGAUUGUUAAAUGGUUGAUGUUGGUGCUCCUUGGUCAAUUUAAAAUAUUAAUCUUACUUUUUUAGGGUAUUGAGAGUGUUAUUAUGUGGAUAGGCUACAUUUCACUUGGCUUUGGUUCACUGGUUUUGUUUGUUGAAACACUGGCAAUAGAUACAAGUUUUUAUUUUCUUUUUUUAGUAUACAGAAAGCCCAAGUUGCAACAUUCAGGACAUGGACUUCUUGAAAAUGUGAUGGAGUCUCAGGGCAGGAACUAAGUUGGUUUCUUGCUAGAUCUGAGCUGCUGCCUGGGGAAAAUAAGCAAUAGAGGAGAGGCUACAAAGAGAAUAAUUUUUUUUCUUUUGACAGCUGGCUAAUCUAUCUGAACUUGGAAGGUCAUAGUCAGAAGGCAUAGAAGGAGUAAUAAUAGCCAAGUGUGUUUUAGAGAAUGCCCUGCUGCUUUUUGGCUAUUAGGAAAAUACCACAGGAAUUAAUUUUUAAAAAUAGCUCAGCAUUACAGGCACAAGGGGUGUGACUGUGGCUGCAGGAAAAUGUUCUAGCUUCUUUUUUCCUAAAGUCAAAAAAAUCCUGUUUGCUUAAUAUUUAUCUCGAGAAGUAAAUUGGCCUCUCGUGCCAGAGAAAACAGUGCUUGGGUUCAGCAAGUCCUGAGGCAAAGAAACUUUAUUAUUGUUUGGGCAGGAUCUGGAAAAUGCUGCCAGGUGCAGUGCUUGAUACCUAACUUGAAUGUUCCUUGUAGAUGGGGAGGCCUAAACUUGAGAGUAUGCAGCUGAGGAGAAAGGCUUUGAUAGCCUGUUUUUCAUCAAAAGCCUGAGACCACAGCAGCAGCAGAGAGCUGGAAGAUGGAGAGAAAAAAAAGUUUAGGUCUUGGAACAAAUUGGAGGGUAAAACACUUUUGGACAAAGUCCAAAAGCUUUGUGAGGAGGAGGAGGAGGAGGAAGAGGAAAAUUAGUGUGGGGGUGAGAGAUCCAGAAGGCGGGAAGCUGUACCCCCACGUGGUGUGCUGUGGUGGGCACAUGCAGCUCCAAGCUCACACACACAUUUACCACGGACAAGGUAAGAAACACUCCAGCUCUGAGUUGGCAGCCCUGGCUGCUUGAUCAAAGAUUUGCUCAUGCUGGGAAGCAGCACCAGUGGCCACUCACCUGCUGGCAGUCAGGGUACCCUCAGCAUCCCCAGCUCCUGGGGCUGCCCUGGCACUGGGGCGGGGCAGGGCAGGGCAGGCCUGAUGGGCUCUGUAAAUUCAGGAGGUGAUGCUUCAUGGACUGCCCAGCUGGGAAGGCUCAGAGGCAAAUGAGCAUUCUUCCAGUUUGAUUUAUAGAGACUUGGUUUGAAUCUGCUCACACCUGGAGGCUCCAGCCCUCACUGAAGCUGGGCCAGCAGUGGCAGGCUUGGGUUCUGCCAAGAGCCAGAGCCUCGGCUCAACCUCUCCACCAGCCCAAAGCUUUCAAAUGGCUGGAACUAGAGGAGACAGCUUGAGGAGGCAUUUUACAGGUGAGCAUGUUCAAGUGUGGUGUUCAUACAAUUGCUGGCAGCUCUGUUGGAGAGCUUAUGUGAUAGCUUGAUGUCACUGUGGGCUACACCAGAAGCUCUGCAGCAAAGUAGCAGUAUCCUGAAAUGUGAAGCUGCAAGAGCUCUCCCUUUGUCUUGUCCUCAUGCUGUCCUGGUUUCUGUUGGUGCAAAUUCAGUGUUUAAAAGUCUUGGAAUGUUGGUAAGCUUUGUUUAAUUGAAGAAUCUACUCUGGAGCCCUUACGGUGGUCUGCACAUGAGGUAAGAAUGACAUGUUGUACCUAGGUAGGAAUAAAAGCAGCUGUGGUGCAUGGUAGAAUGUGAUAGGGAAGAGAGGGAUGUUGCAUUUCCAUUCUAUUCAAACAAUAUUUCUCACUUUGAGUAAAAACUCCGUUUACAGCAUCCACUUUGAACUGCUGCUUGGAUGUUUGUUUCUGGAGAGCAUGCAGUGAGUUUCCCAACAGUUUGGCAAGGGACUGUUAAAAAUUAACUAGAAGCUGAGAUAAAUCACAUACAAAUAGCUCAGGGAGCGUGGUGAAUUCAUCAGUGUCUGAUGUGCUUGCUUGUCUCACGGCUGCCCAAGUUCCUUUGUAACUUGUUUUGGGUUUUUUGGCUCUGAGAUGCCCUGUCCAGCAGUUCCUUCAGGAGACAAUGUCAGAUUUCUUUGAGCAGCAUUUUAAUGUCCCGCCUGACUCUGGUGGUGAAAAAGGGAUGAGUGAAAAGGGUCCAGGCUUCUGGAAGUCAAAGACCUGUUAAUAAAGUUUCUCCCCUUCAAUAGUGCUGGAUAACAGAAGCCUUUAAAUGUGCUACUGCUUUGAACUAGCUGCUGUUGUAGGUUAGGCUGGCUGACCUGAGUCUCUGUGGCUGAGUGUCAAGAGGACAGUGUGUGGCAGGAGAAUUUGUCAGUUCAAGUGAAUGGCACUUACCUCCUCUGGUAAGGUAAGUGCCAUAUAAGCAUUCACUCACUUCUCUUAUCUGUCGUGUGGGUGAGUUUAUUCACCUUUCUUACAGCCGUAUGAAAAAGGGUGUGGGGAGGUGCACAGAGAAAAUUUCUACUCAUCCUUGAAUGAGUUCAGGGAGCUCACAAGCAGCCUUACCCCCUCAACUGGAAGGCUGGUGGGCAAGGCUUGAGACCACUGGAGGAGCCUGUGUCUGUUCCUCUGCAGCUCUGUGCAGUUCCCUUGUGAGUGCAAGAUGUUUCUCUUCCCCAAAGGGAGCUGUUGCCACUGAAACAUGAAGUAUGUAUUGAGUGUCAGGACAGAGCCAUCAUUCCAAGGAUAUUUUUAAUAGCAAGGUUUGAAAAUCCCCCUCACAUAAUAUUUUGCAUGCUGCAGGAUUACCUUGUAGUUGCUGUUGGCAGCCUCAGGUGGUUUGGAGAUGCUGUGUUCCCAGGCUGCUCCAGGCAGACUGGCUGUUGGAAAACUCACAAGUCUUUGUCAGUUCAGGGCCAGAAAUGGAAUCCAGUUAUUUUGCAGUUGUGUACUGCUGAGUGCAAAUUGCAGGAUUUCUUGCAUUCCCCAUCUGUGCCCCCUGUAGUUUCAAGCAUAGCUGCUUCUUGAAGUGUCACAGUUCCAAUCUGUCUGCUGCAUCCUCAGGAUAUUGCCUUAUUUGGGGGAGUUUGUGUGGUUUGUUACCUGCAGACUCGGAUCCAGUUGCAGAACAUGGGAUUUCAGCUGGAGCAGCAAGUGCAGAGGGUGCAGAGGGUAUGGAAUUGGUCUCCUCUGGUGAGGGUCUCCCUUUAGGGAGGAAGCAAACUUCCAUAUCAGGAAGGGAAAAGCUCUUUACCUUCAUUAGAGCACAUGAAAGUUUGAAUUUUCCCAGUGUCUUUUCAGUAGCCUAGCUGAUACCUCUGGCAAGACCUGAGAGGAAAAUGAAGAGAGUUCCACACAUUAGGGACCACCUGGUCACAGCCAGCCACAGAGAGGGAUAGUUAUCAUUGUGUUUGCUGCAAUGCCAAGCACACUCUUGGACAACGUGAUACCCUGGGAGGGGAUGGCUGGAUGAAAGAUGAGGAACAGAAUUAUGAAGAACUUGUGUGAGAGGCUGUAGGCUGGAGCUCUGCAGCCAAACUGUAGCUGAAUCCUUACAAUUCCCAUCUAACUGCCAGUGUAAUCUGAUCAAAGGCCAUAUGGUGAUGAAGGCAUUCCUUGACGUAGCAUGUACUUUCUCUGCCUGUUUUUUGUAUUCAUGUAGUAUUUCUUCAAGCCAGUCACGUACCUUUAUUUGGCAACCAAAUUACUCAAAAAAAAAAACCUGGUAGAGGGGUUCACAGUGAAUUUCAUAGUGAGAGUGCCAGAUGAGCUGCCAGAAUGCCAAGGUCUCCUCAACCCCCCCCCCCGCAAAACUGCCUGAUGUACCUUGUGAGUAAUUAAACAUCACUCAGUUCUAAGAGGCAACCUUCAGUAAUAGAGCUCAACCAAGUGUAAUAUCUUUAAAAUUAGGAUAGAACCAGUGGCAUAUGACAGGAGAGUGACUGAAUUGCUCACAGUUUAAUGACCUCUAACUAUGCAACAGGGGUUCCUUGUUCCCAUGUGAAUUGAUGUGCACCAUACAUUUGUGGGCUUUAUUACUAGUGAGCAGUUCCAUGGCUUCAAACCCUGUGUAUUCAUGAAUGGCUAAAGGAAUCCUCUAGACUAUUAGCAAGAAUCAUGCACAUUUCAGAGAGAACACUCAGCACUGGGACAUGGAAACUUUGAAGAGCUCCAACAACUUUGGUCCUCCAACUGAUCCAGGGAACUGAGUUCAAAGAUGCUGGUACUGAACAGAAGUGUAUGCAUGCCACAGUAAUCCUGCUUCACACAUAAGGAAUUCUGUCUUGAACCAUUCUGAUAGAGGAAAAAAAUCUGCGGAGGCCACUUCUAUAAUUUUUUGACCUAAAAUGGGGGCAGUGCAAAAGGCAAGUGAAAAGGUGAUGUGGUCCCCUGUUUCUGUGGUAUCAAAACAGUGAUGGUGUUUUCCUGAAAAUCCUUGAGAGUGUCAAUCUCAAAUUUUAGCACUGGUGUUGCAUAGAAAUGCAGUAAAAAUCAUUCUCUGAGUACACACUAUAUUUUGUCUUUAGAGGUGUUUGGCAAACUCAAAACUAAUAUAUCAAGAGUAUUCAGGAUAAGAGUCUGAAACGAGAACAUGAGCUGCUGAAAUGCAGAGCAAGUUAAAACGUGGGAGAAAAGUGUGACAGCAGACUAUUCCUGGCCUGAAGAGAAGGUAAAAAUUCAAAGUGUUAAGUUAAAAAAUGACUGGGAAAGUGCUGUAGUAACUCAUGGUCAGAGGAAAGCAGGAUUUGGCUGUGUCACAGAGAGAAGCAUCCAUAUCCUGUAUGCCAGAUGGAUCUUGGCUUCCUUGCUCACAGAGUACAGGUUUGGAAGAGGUCACACUAAUGCACAAUGAGAAUUGGAGGACCUCAGGCCAUAUUUUCAUCUCUUUCUUGAGGCGUAUAUGGAAAGGGCAGUCCUUGCUGAGGUGUAUGGCUGGAGGGAGCUGCCUAAAAAGCACCUGGAGAGCAAGAAGUGGAGAAGGAUCCUCACAAAAGAACCUCUGAGAGACCUUACCUUGUCUAUCCAAAACAUGGAGAGAAGGCAACACACAGAGUCACAGCACCACCAGCUUUGGAGGUGAGUGACCUACAGCCACAGCAGCUGCCCCAGAGCUCAAAACCACUGCUGAACACCCGUCUUGUCCUGCAGCUGUCACAAGGCUCUACAAGUCCAUGUUUUAUUGUAGCAAUGAAAUGCAUCGAUAAAACAGAGACCUGAAUCCUCCCCUAUCACCCGCGUACUUAUUGCUGUCUACCUUCUGAAUUAAUCCAGAUUCUGGGUUCUAGAGACCAUUUGUAAAAAUGGAAAAAACUCUGACAGGGGUUCCAUUUUAACCAGGGAAUCUUAAUCUCAGAAACCUGUAGUAAUAUUAUGAACCAGACUAAAAACAGGCUAAAAUGUGGUAAUCUUAUAUUCCUUGGCAUCUAACAGCAGUUUGUGCUGGUUGAAUCAGAGUGAGGAAUUAUGGUAGCUGCUCCUGCCUGUAAAAUGGGCAUCCAAUAUUGCAGAAGCUCUUAAAUUACCUGUGAGACUUCUCUCAAAGUUAGGUUGAAAAUUGCCAUUCUUCCUUCUGAAUAAUAAAUAUAGUA